rnacentral:rRNA from 1 species
CCUACGGGGGGCUGCAAUUAGGAAUCUUGCACAAUGGGCGAAAGCCUGAUGCAGCGACGCCGCGUGAAGGACGAAGCUUCUCGGAGUGUAAACUUCUUUUGGCGGGGAAGAAUUCUGACGGUACCCGCCGAAUAAGCCCCGGCUAACUACGUGCCAGCAGCCGCGGUAAUACGUAGGGGGCGAGCGUUGUCCGAAUUUACUGGGCGUAAAGCGCGCGUAGGCGGUCCCUUAAGUCUGGGGUGAAAGGUUCAGCGCUCAACGCGAACAGCGCCUUG